rnacentral:rRNA from 1 species
UACAUGGGGUGCAAACGUUGCUCGGAAUUAUUGGGCGUAAAGCGCACGUAGGCGGUUUGUUAAGUCGGAUGUGAAAUCCCUCGGCUCAACUGAGGAAGUGCAUCCGAAACUGGCAGGCUUGAGUACUAAAGAGGGUCGCGGAAUUCCCGGUGUAGAGGUGAAAUUCGUAGAUAUCGGGAGGAACUCCGGUGGCGAAGGCGGCAUACUGGACCACCUCUGACGCUGAGGCGCGAAAGCCAGGGGAGCAAACGGG